rnacentral:rRNA from 1 species
UACAGAGGUCUCAAGCGUUGUUCGGAUUCAUUGGGCGUAAAGGGUGCGUAGGCGGCGCGGUAAGUCGGGUGUGAAAUUUCGAGGCUUAGCUUCGAAACUGCAUUCGAUACUGCCGUGCUAGAGGACUGGAGAGGAGACUGGAAUUUACGGUGUAGCGGUGAAAUGCGUAGAUAUCGUAAGGAAGACCAGUGGCGAAGGCGGGUCUCUGGACAGUUCCUGACGCUGAGGCACGAAGGCCAGGGGAGCAAACGGG